rnacentral:rRNA from 1 species
UAGGGAAUCUUCGGCAAUGGACGAAAGUCUGACCGAGCAACGCCGCGUGAGUGAAGAAGGUUUUCGGAUCGUAAAACUCUGUUGGUAGAGAAGAACGUUGGUGAGAGUGGAAAGCUCAUCAAGUGACGGUAACUACCCAGAAAGGGACGGCUAACUACGUGCCAGCAGCCGCGGUAAUACGUAGGUCCCGAGCGUUGUCCGGAUUUAUUGGGCGUAAAGCGAGCGCAGGUGGUUUAUUAAGUCUGGUGUAAAAGGCAGUGGCUCAACCAUUGUAUGCAUUGGAAACCGGUAGACUUGAGUGCAGGAGNAGAGUGGAAUUCCAUGUGUAGCGGUGAAAUGCGUAGNUAUAUGGAGGAACACCGGUGGCGAAAGCGGCUCUCUGGCCUGUAACUGACACUGAGGCUCGAAAGCGUGGGGAGCAAACAGGAUUAGAUACCCUGGUAGUCCACGCCGUAAACGAUGAGUGCUAGAUGUAGGGAGCUAUAAGUUCUCUGUAUCGCAGCUAACGCAAUAAGCACUCCGCCUGGGGAGUACGACCGCAAGGUUGAAAC